UACGUAGAGUGCAACGCGUUGUCCGGAAUUAGUUGGGCGUAAAGGGUACGCAGGCGGAUUAGUAAAGUCAAGCGUGAAAGGUGUCGGCUUAACCGACAGACUGCGUUUGAAACUGAUUAUCUUGAGUGUAACAGAGGAGAGUGGAAUUCCUAGUGUAGUGGUGAAAUACGUAGAUAUUAGGAAGAACACCAGUGGCGAAAGGCGACUCUCGUGGGUUAACACUGACGCUGAGGUACGAAAGCUGGGGGAGCAAACGGGAUUAGAUACCCGUGUAGU
rnacentral:rRNA from 1 species